rnacentral:misc_RNA from 1 species
CAACCAUCAAGCCCUAGGCUUGUGUUGGGGCACUGCGGCUGCUUGCAGGCCCUUAAAAGCAGUGGCGGACUCGCUGUCAUACCGAGCGCAGUAGCAUAUCUCGCUCAGGGCGUGGCGGCGGGUACCGGCCGUAAAACAACUAAAACUCAA